rnacentral:rRNA from 1 species
UACGUAGGGGGCAAGCGUUGUCCGGAAUCAUUGGGCGUAAAGCGCGUGUAGGCGGCUGAGUAAGUCUGCUCUGAAAGCCCGGGGCUCAACCCCGGGAGGCGGGUGGAUACUGCUCAGCUCGAGUCCGGAAGAGGAGUGUGGAAUUCCUGGUGUAGCGGUGAAAUGCGCAGAUAUCAGGAGGAACACCAAUGGCGAAGGCAGCACUCUGGGGCGGUACUGACGCUGAGACGCGAAAGCGUGGGGAGCAAACAGG